rfam:Dipodomys ordii contig_54470, whole genome shotgun sequence.
GCUCAGUGGUAGAGCGCUUGCCUUGCAUGCAUGAGACCCUGGGUUCGAUUCCUCAG